AAUAAUCUCCACCCCCUGCCGAGGCUUCAACAUUAUAUCUAUCCCUCCUUGCUCUAGCGGGCAGCAAGAAGCACAGCACCGCCAGUUACCACGCAGACAUCCUGGGGAACUGAGCCUGCUCCAGGUUCCUGACUUGAGGUCCUGUCCAGGCCUCUCUCCAUGAUGGACCAUGAUGGGGAUUCGUAAGCAGAAAUAAACCCUCCCCACUGCUGCUUUUGGUCAGUAUUUGUAUCACAGCGAGAGAAAGCAAACUCGGACAGAUAUUCAUCAGCUGUACAAAGAGAAAAGGCAUAAACUGCUGGAAGCUGUGUCCUUGGGUCAUGGGCACUACUUCCCACAACACCCACUGGCUUUGCAUGGAGACUCUGGACCUUCAGAGCGACACCCAGUUUUGCCACAUGGAUACAGGACUUGUGAUAAACUAGGUAGUAGGCCUGGAUCUGUUGCUUUCCCCCUUGCUGUGAUGAGGAAAUCCCUGAGAAAGAUAACUUAAGGAAGGAGGGGUUUGCUCUAGCAGCUGGAGUGAGGGGUGGCAGGCCACAUGACGUGGCAUCCACUAUCAGGAUGCAGAGAGAGAUGAAUGUGUAUAUUCACCUUCCCUUUCCACGAGGUCUAAAACCCUAGGGUGAGUCUUCCUGCCUCGGUUUACCGAGUUUAGAAACUCCUAUGUCUCCAUGGUGAUUCUAGACCCCGUCAAGCUGACAGUAUUAACCACCUCAGGGGUUAACUGCUAGAGAUCCUGAGAGCACACAUUUGAUCUGCUUUGUAAAUACACGAUUUGGUUGCCUGAAAUAAUUUAGUCAGAGGUCAACCCUGGAUACCAUUAAAGUUGUUCUCCUUUUUCUUUUCUGCCCAU
rnacentral:lncRNA from 1 species